rnacentral:tRNA from 1 species
AGAAAUUUAGGUUAACUAAACCAAUGGCCUUCAAAGCCUUAAAUACGAGUCAAACCUCUUAAUUUCUG